rnacentral:rRNA from 1 species
GAUGAACGCUGGCGGCGUGCCUAAUACAUGCAAGUCGAGCGAACAGAAGCGUUACUUGCUCUUCUGACGAUAGCGGCGGACGUGUGUGUCACACGUGUAUAUCCCACGUAUAAGACUUGGCUCACUUCGGGAAACCGGAGCUAAUACCUGAUACUAUUUUGACCCGCAUGGUUCAUUAGUGAAAGACGGUUUUGCUGUCACUUAUAGAUUGAUCCGCGCCGAAUUAUCUAUUUUGUAAGGUAACGGUUUAACAAGGCCACGAUGCGUAGCGGACCUGAGAGGGUGGACGGGCACACGAGAACAGAGAAAGGAUCCUGACACCUACGGGAGGCAGCAGUAGGAAAUCUUACGGAAGGGGGGAAAGGCUGACAGAGCAAAGCCGCGUGAGUGAUGAAGGUGUGAGGAUGGGAGAACGAAGAUGUAAGGGAAGAACAAAUGUGUAAGUAACAAGGAACGUAUUGACAGUACCUAAAAAGAAAGCCACGGCUAACUACGUG